rnacentral:rRNA from 1 species
GACGGAGGAUGCAAGUGUUAUCCGGAAUCACUGGGCGUAAAGCGUCCGCAGGUGGCACUUCAAGUCUGUCGUCAAAGACCGGGGCUUAACCCUGGAAAGGCGAUGGAAACUGAAAGGCUAGAGAGAGGUAGGGGUAGAGGGAAUUCCCAGUGUAACGGUGAAAUGCGUAGAGAUUGGGAAGAACAUCGGUGGCGAAAGCGCUCUACUGGACCUCAUCUGACACUCAGGGACGAAAGCUAGGGGAGCGAAUGGG